rnacentral:rRNA from 1 species
UACAGAGGGUGCAAGCGUUGUUCGGAAUUAUUGGGCGUAAAGGGUGCGUAGGCGGUUCCGCAAGUCCUGUGUGAAAUCUUCGGGCUCAACUCGAAGUCUGCACGGGAAACUGCGGGGCUUGAGUGUGGGAGAGGUGAGUGGAAUUCCCAGUGUAGCGGUGAAAUGCGUAGAUAUCGGGAGGAACACCUGUGGCGAAAGCGGCUCACUGGACCAUAACUGACGCUGAUGCACGAAAGCUGGGGGAGCAAACAGG